GAUGANUUGCGAACGGGNUGAGUNACGCGNUAGGUUANCCUGNCCUUGNUAGCGGGGGAUAACUAUUGGAAACGAUAGCUAAUACCNGCAUAACAAUGGGAUGACACAUGUCAUUUAUUUGAAAGGGGCAAUUGCUCCACUACAAGAUGGACCUGCGUUGUAUUAGCUAGUAGGUGAGGUAACGGCUCACCUAGGCGACGAUACAUAGCCNAACCUGAGAGGGUGAUCGGCCACACUGGGACUGANACACGGCCCAGACUCCUACGGGAGGCAGCAGUAGGGAAUCUUCGGCAAAUGGGGGNCAACCCUGACCGANCAACGCCCCGUGAG
rnacentral:rRNA from 1 species